rnacentral:rRNA from 1 species
UACGAAGGGUGCGAGCGUUAAUCGGAAUUACUGGGCGUAAAGCGCGUGUAGGCGGUUGGUUAAGUCAGAUGUGAAAGCCCCGGGCUCAACCUGGGAACGGCAUUUGAUACUGGCUGACUAGAAUGUGGUAGAGGGAGGCGGAAUUCCCGGUGUAGCGGUGAAAUGCGUAGAGAUCGGGAAGAACACCAAUGGCGAAGGCAGCCUCCUGGGCCAACAUUGACGCUGAGACGCGAAAGCGUGGGGAGCAAACAGG